AGAUUACGUAAAAUGUAAAUCAGCCUGAAUACCUAGGAGCAGGAAUUUUAAGGGAGAAAAUGCCGUUUUCUUUUUCUGUGUCAUUAUUAACCCUUAAAUAUCAGAGUGAGUGUCUGCUCACCUAUUUGUAUUUGGAAACGAGAUACUGUUAGGGGUUUUUCUUGGCCCUUCCCUUUCAGAUUGAAUCAGACUUUGCUGCUUUCCUUAUACAAAAUAAUGUACCAACUAGAUAGACGGUGGGAGUGGUAUCGUUGCAGGAAUGAAACCAAAAGGGUUCCGAUGAUUGAGAGAGAUUCAUUUAUUUUUUAACUCUUCUCAUGAUCUGAAUGAAGAGUACAGCAUCUAUCAAAAGGUAACAACCUAAUAUUUCAGAAUUGCAAGUGGCCAUUUAGCCUUUCUGCUGCCUGAUAUAAAUGAAAGUAAUUCCUAGCAGGCAGGAUGACACUUGUUUUAUCACGAAUCUGACAAUCCAGCACAUUUUCUCAAGCAAUUUUGAAGUUGUCGUAGUAACAGCAUGGCAUUUGGAGGGUCUUUUUAGUAGUUCUUUAGCUAGAGUUAAUUAAUUGUAUUAACUCUGGAUGUUUUUCUUUUUACUCCUCUUUGACAAACAAGGGCUAUAAUUGCUCAAAUAUGUAUUUUGUGUUCUAUAUUUUUUGGUGACUAUAGUUUAAGGACGUGAUGUUUUUAAGUGGUUUCAGUAAAAGGUUAUCAGUUGAUUUCAGACACAUUAAACUUGGGUUUUUAAUUUCUCUGUAAAAUUCCACUAUCAUUGUAGGACCAGGAUUUAGUUUUAUUUAAGAAGUGAAUCUGGGGAGAUAUUUGCACAAAUUGAAUUGUGGCUUGCUUCCAGUGGUUGCAACUAUCCGUUGCUUUGAUUUUGGUGUAUUUAGAAAAAGAACUGGGGAAUGCAGAAAGGGAAAUGUGUCAGGCUUACAGGAGAAAAUUGUUUCUUUAGAAAUGCAACAGGCAGGCACACCACCAAAAGCAUGUUCCAUAAAAGAAAACAAAUAAAUUUGAUUUUGUGAAACUUAAGAAUGCAGUGCUCUUUGAAACUCUAAAAUAUACUUAAAUAAAUUCUCCCCUAGGAAGAUUUGUGGGAACUUUUUAUUGGUGGAAAGUAGGUUGGAACUUCUAGUAUUAAUAGUAAAACUCUGUGGCAGAAAUUCUUGCCAAUAUGGCGGUUGGUGAGAAAGGAAUCCCGUUUCUUGGGCAGGGAGAGGGUCAGAAGAAAGAAUUGUCUGUACUCAGUCUGGAUGCCGGGACUUAAAAAGUAUCAGAUAUACAAUGCUUUUGUUUUCUUGUAUAAGUGAACAGAGAGAUGUGACACUUCUAAAAGGUCUUGUGAGUUUUGUGGGUUUAAUGCUAAUGCCACUAUCCUUACUGUUCUGUGAGUAUUUGUUCAGCCACGGGUGAUUCAAGAGAGUUGGGGUAUCAGCAUGUGCAGCCAACAGCAGUCCAGGUGCUAAUGCACCACCGGUGAUGUCAGGAGUUACGAGACAGCGGUUUCCAAACACUGCAGUAAACAAGGUCAAAGUGUCCCGUUUCGCUGGAAGAAGUUUUGUUUUUAUGAGCUGGACAGUACAUGGAUGAAACAGACGUUUAAGUACGAGAAAGCUAAUGGCGCAGAUUCUGCUGACUGUGUGGCUCUCGUCUUAAUGCGUUUUCCAACCUUGAACCUGAGAAUGCCAGAGGAUUGAGUCUCUGGACGUUCAUCUGAGCAGAUAUCUGCUGGCCGCCUGGUUCCUGAGCUAACAAGUGGGUGUCCCGGGCUUGUGUGUGUAGUCACAACAGUGGAGGUGCCACGUGGCACCCAGAGGUCGACUGGGGCUACCGCGGGGCUUCCCGAUCCUCACAAGUGUGUCUUCAGUGUCUGACAUGAACUGGGAACUUGGGGCAUCUUUAGAAGCACAGACAUUUGGAGUUCCACGGCAAACCUGGAUGUAAG
rnacentral:lncRNA from 10 species